rnacentral:misc_RNA from 1 species
UGUACGAGUACUAAUGGCGCUAUGUAAUUGUGCCUGUACUUGUUACAACAUCGCUGGGUUUUUGUAUUAAAGCCCGGUUAGAUUGUGUGUGUGGCUUAUGUGAUGGUCGAAAUAUGUACAUGUCGACUUGAAUGCUAAUUUGAAAAUUUUGUUGGAGCUGCUAUAGCGAGAUGCUUUGCGGUAGAUAAUUGGCAGUAAUACAGAACCAUGCAAGUAUUGUCGUGCUUUGAGCGUGACUUAUAAACUCAAUCUAUA